UGGGGAAUAUUGGACAAUGGAGGCAACUCUGAUCCAGCACUUCUGUGUGUGUGAAGCAGGUUUUAGGACUGUAAAACACUUUUAGUAGGGAAGAAAGAAAUGACGGUACCUACAGAAGAAGCGACGGCUAAAUACGUGCCAGCAGCCGCGGUAAUACGUAUGUCGCGAGCGUUAUCCGGGAUUAUUGGGCUUAAAGGGCAUCUAGGCGGUUAAACAAGUUGAAGGUGUAAACCUGUGGCUCAACCAUAGGCUUGCCUACAAAACUGUAUAACUAGAGUACUGGAAAGGUGGGUGGAACUACACGAGUAGAGGUGAAAUUCGUAGAUAUGUGUAGGAAUGCAGAUGAUGAAGAUAACUCACUGGACAGCAACAGACGCUGAAGUGCGAAAGCUAGGGGAGCAAACAGG
rnacentral:rRNA from 1 species